rnacentral:rRNA from 1 species
GACGAACGCUGGCGGCGUGCUUAACACAUGCAAGUCGAACGGAAAGGCCCUGCUUUUGUGGGGUGCGCGAGUUGCGAACUGGUGAGUAACACGUGAGUAACCUGCCCUUGACUUUGGGAUGACUUCAGGAAACUGGGGCUAAUACCGGAUAGGAGCUCCUGCUGCAUGGUGGGGGUUGGAAAGUUUCGGCGGUUGGGAUUGGACUAGCGGCGUAUCAGCUUGUUGGUGAGGUAGUGGCUGACCAAGGCUUGGACGGGUAGCCGGCCUGAGCGGGUGAGCGGAUAAAUUGGGACGGGGAUACGACACAGACUACUACGGGAGGGAGGAGUGGAGAAUAGAGCAUAAUGCGCGGAAGCCUGAUGUAGCAAAGCCGCGUGCGGGAUGACGGGAAGCGGGUUGUGAACCGCUUUCGCCUGUGACGAAGCGAGAGUGACGGUAAUGGGUAAAGAAGCACCGGCUAACUACGUG